UACGUAGGGGGCAAGCGUUGUCCGGAAUCAUUGGGCGUAAAGAGCGUGUAGGCGGCCCGGUAAGUCCGCUGUGAAAGUCCAGGGCUCAACCCUGGGAUGCCGGUGGAUACUGUCGGGCUCGAGUCCGGAAGAGGAGUGUGGAAUUCCUGGUGUAGCGGUGAAAUGCGCAGAUAUCAGGAGGAACACCAAUGGCGAAGGCAGCACUCUGGGACGUGACUGGCGCUGAGACGCGAAAGCGUGGGGAGCAAACAGG
rnacentral:rRNA from 1 species